rnacentral:rRNA from 1 species
UACGUAGGCAGCAAGCGUUGUUCGGAAUUAUUGGGCGUAAAGAGCUUGUAGGCGGCUUGUCGCGUCUGCUGUGAAAAUCCGGGGCUCAACCCCGGACUUGCAGUGGGUACGGGCAGACUAGAGUGUGGUAGGGGAGACUGGAAUUCCUGGUGUAGCGGUGAAAUGCGCAGAUAUCAGGAGGAACACCGAUGGCGAAGGCAGGUCUCUGGGCCGAUACUGACGCUGAGGAGCGAAAGCAUGGGUAGCGAACAGG